rnacentral:rRNA from 1 species
AUUGAACGCUGGCGGCAGGCUUAACACAUGCAAGUCGAGCGGGGUGAUGGUGCUUGCACUAUCACUUAGCGGCGGACGGGUGAGUAAUGCUUAGGAAUCUGCCUAUUAGUGGGGGACAGCAUCUCGAAAGGGAUGCUAAUACCGCAUACGUCCUACGGGAGAAAGCAGGGGAUCACUUGUGACCUUGCGCUAAUAGAUGAGCCUAGUCGGAUUAGCUAGUUGGUGGGGUAAAGGCCUACCAAGGCGACGAUCUGUAGCGGGUCUGAGAGGAUGAUCCGCCACACUUGGACUGAGGCACGGCCCAGACUCCUACGGGAGGCAGCAGUGGGGAAUAUUGUACAAUGGGGGGAACGCUGAUCCAGCCAUGCCGCGUGUGAGAAGAAGGCCUUAUGGUUGUAAAGCACUUUAAGCGAGGAGGAGGCUCUUUUGGUUAAUACCCAAGAUGAGUGGACGUUACUCGCAGAAUAAGCACCGGCUAACUCUGUGCCAGCCGCCGCCGUAA